UACGAAGGGGGCUAGCGUUGCUCGGAAUUACUGGGCGUAAAGGGAGCGUAGGCGGACAGUUAAGUCAGAGGUGAAAGCCCAGGGCUCAACCCUGGAAUUGCCUUUGAAACUGAUUGUCUUGAGUAUGGGAGAGGUAUGCGGAACUCCGAGUGUAGAGGUGAAAUUCGUAGAUAUUCGGAAGAACACCAGUGGCGAAGGCGGCAUACUGGCCCAUUACUGACGCUGAGGCUCGAAAGCGUGGGGAGCAAACAGG
rnacentral:rRNA from 1 species